GCUGACGUUAUGUCAGAAUGGGAUGAGGUGCUACAGGUGGUCCGGGUCACUGGGCCGUGACAGUGUUGAUGGUUGAACGUCAGGAGCCAAUGAUGUUGAUAGUUGGGGAUCCUGGAUAGUUGAAAGAUUUUUUGCUGAAAACUUUUGGAAGAACAUUGUAAUCAGAAGUUGUCCCUAACUCUUCAAAGCUUUGCUGCAGACGUUCUAAUCCUUUGGUGAUCAUGCAGAUGACUCAAGUUCUCCCAAUUCCUGGUUUAACACUUGUCAAUGGCCUUCAAUGUGUUCUCCCACUUCCUAUCAAGCAGGUUCUUGCAGCAGACAUUUAUCAUUGCUGGUUUCGAUUCAUGCAUUGUAGCUUUGGUGAGUGUUAUUGUGUCAACGAUAGUGAAUAAUUUCCAGCACCACAUUAUGUCCAGAUUAGAGUCUGCAUCGAUUGCUGAUCAAAAUCUCAGACCAAGGUUUGCUGCAGGUAACUGAAACCAUGGAGAGCAAAACUGUCCAUAGGGGGAAUCCAUUGCAUUUUCAAGACUCAACAGAAGGCAGAGGAGUGGGAAAGCUUCAGAGUAGAAAAAAGAGAAGGCAUCAGGUGUGCCCUGAUGGAGACCAUGGCCUGGGGAAGCUGCAGGCGGGCUGGCUAGAGGAAACAUUCCUAGGUGGUUGAGGAGGGUGACUUACGACUUCCUCUCAAAGAUAUCUAAACCAAGACGUCUUCAACUUUAGCCUGCAUAUGCAUCACCUGGAAAUCGAGGUGUAGGGUGGGCCCUGAGUUUGCCUUUCUAAGGAGAGAUGCUAACAAGAUCUGGACCAUCAGCCACUCAAGACCUUUAACAUGUUUCAUACCUGUCGACACCCUGAUACACCUUGGCCUCUGAAAUACUUUACAAGCUUUGCUAAAGAACACGUUCAUAAUGUACCAGUUCUUUAGCACUGAUUCCCUUAGGGAAAUCUGUUCUUCAAGGCAAGUUUCCCAUUGCAGUUCUCUAUCAACCUGGCGGGGUAAGUUACUGCCAAUCAUUGACCAAGCAGCACAGAUCGGGAGAACUCCGUACCUUGGCUCUAUAAGCAACAUCACUGUUCAGAAUGGUCAUCCGAAGCAUGCACAUUGGAGAUACUAUGAACUCUGAUCACGUAAAUGAAGGAUUCACUGUACUUUUUAUUCCCUGUCCUUCAAGAGCCAGGUGAAUGCCACGUCCUCUUCAGAGCCUUCCUGGAUGUCACAGCCGACCAUUGCUGGGGCUCAGAAAAAGCUACCUGAACAUAUGGCGCUCUGGCCUGCAGAGUACUUUGAACUGGAGGAGAUUGGAAGGCUUCAGCAACGGCCUCAGCACUAAGAUCUCUCUGACCUUCUCUUGCCCUUGUGUCUCGCUCCUCUUUCUCCCCUAAGCACAGGGAGGGGCUGUCCCUGAACUUUCCUUGUCUCCUUAAAGAUAGAUCUAAAAAGGAACUCAGUUUCUCCUCCAGAGACAAGAUUCACUGUAUCAUAGGAGAAGAGACUGGGGGUCCGGGCCACUCACAGACAUCGCCAUAGGCUAUCACCUGUUCGUCUUCCCCAAAAAGCACUUAUUCUCCCCUAAGCAGCCUACAUGCCCGAUCCCCUCUUCUUUAUGAAGAAGUAGAUAAGCUUGUCAAUUUCACUGGGUUUUGGGUACUCACUUUUGUUUCUCCUGCUGCUCCCAUCCAUGUAAUAAAUGUGCAUGUUUUUUUCUCCUGUU